ACGCGUGAGAAUCUGCCUUCAGGUCUGGGACAACAGAAGGAAACUUCUGCUAAUCCCGGAUGAGCCUUAUGGUAAAAGAUAAAUUGCCUGGAGAUGAGCUCGCGUCUGAUUAGCUAGUUGGUGUGGUAAAAGCAUACCAAGGCAACGAUCAGUAGCUGGUCUGAGAGGAUGAGCAGCCACACUGGGACUGAGACACGGCCCAGACUCCUACGGGAGGCAGCAGUGGGGAAUUUUCCGCAAUGGGCGAAAGCCUGACGGAGCAAGACCGCGUGGGGGAGGAAGGCUCUAGGGUUGUAAACCCCUUUUCUUUGGGAAGAAGUUCUGACGGUACCAAAGGAAUCAGCCUCGGCUAACUCCGUGCCAGCAGCCGCGGUAAUACGGAGGAGGCAAGCGUUAUCCGGAAUGAUUGGGCGUAAAGCGUCCGCAGGUGGCCAUGUAAGUCUGCUGUCAAAACCCAGGGCUCAACUCUGGUCAGGCAGUGGAAACUACAAAGCUAGAGUCUGGUAGGGGCAAAGGGAAUUCCCGGCGUAGCGGUGAAAUGCGUAGAUUUCGGGAAGAACAUCGGUGGCGAAAGCGCUUUGCUAGACCAGAACUGACACUCAGGGACGAAAGCUAGGGGAGCGAAUGGGAUUA
rnacentral:rRNA from 1 species